rnacentral:tRNA from 1 species
UCAGAAAGUAGUUUAAUUUGAAAAAUGCCAGCUUUGGGAGUUGGUGAUAGAGGUGUGAGGUCUCUCUUUCUGA